rnacentral:rRNA from 1 species
CCGAUUGAUCCCGUCGGACCUCACUGCUAUCGAGAUGGGACUAAGGUAUGCUAGUCGAACGACCAGAACUAUGUCUGGGAGUGGCACACUGCUCAGUAACACGUAGCUAACCUACCCUUUGGACGUGGAUACCCCCGAGAAAUUGGGGUUAAUCCGCGAUAGAUGUAAUGUCCUGGAAUGGUAUUACGUCCAAAAGUAUUCCAUACAUGUUUGGAAUAUGCCAAAGGAUGGGGCUGCGGCCGAUCAGGCUGUUGGUGAGGUAAUGGCUCACCAAACCUUUGACCGGUACGGGCCAUGAGAGUGGUAGCCCGGAGAUGGACACUGAGACAAGGGUCCAGGCCCUAAGGGGCGCAGCAACCGCGAAACCUCCACAAUGCACUCACGUGCGAUGGGGCUAUCUCGAGUGCCAUCUGAUGAAGGUGGCUUUUCCUAGGUCUUCAAAGCCUUGGGAAUAAGAGGGGGGCAAGACUGGUGUCAGCCGCCGCGGUAACACCAGCCCCUCGAGUGGUGGGGAUGAUUAUUUGGCCUAAAGCGUCCGUAGCCGCCGUAUAAGUCUCCCGUUAAAUCCAGCGUCUCAAGCGUUGGACCGCGGGAGAUACUGUAUGGCUAGAGAGUGGGAGAGGUCAGCGGUAUUCUGGGGGUAGGGGCGAAAUCCUUUGAUCCCCGGAGGACCACCAGUGGCGAAGGCUGCUGACUAGAACACGUCUGACGGUCAGGGACGAAAGCUGGGGUAGCGAACCGGAUUAGAUACCCGGGUAGUCCCAGCCGUAAACGAUGCAUGCUAGGUGUUGGGUUGGCCACGCGCCACCCCAGUGCCGCAGGGAAGCCGUUAAGCAUGCCGCCUGGGAAGUACGAUCGCAAGAUUGAAACUUAAAGGAAUUGGCGGGGGAGCACCACCAGGCGUGAAGCCUGCGGUUUAAUUGGAGUCAACGCCGGGAACCUUACCGGGAGCGACAGCAGAGUGAAGGCCAAAUUGAAGAUUUUGCCAGACGAGCUGAGAGGAGGUGCAUGGCCGUCGCCAGUUCGUGCCGUGAGGUGUUCUCUUAAGUGAGAUAACGAACGAGACCCGUGCCACAUGUUGCCACCAGUAUCUAAAGGAUAGCUGAGCACUCUUGUGGGACCGCAGCCGAUAAGGCUGAGGAAGGUACGGGCAACGGCAGGUCAGUAUGCCCCGAAUCUCACGGGCCACACGCGGGCUGCAAUGGUAUAGACAGAGGGCUGCCACCCCGAGAGGGGGAGCCAAUCCCUAAACUGUACCUCAGUUGGGAUCGAGGGUUGCAACCCACCCUCGUGAACAUGGAAUGCCUAGUAACCGCCAGUCAUCAUCUCGGUGAAUACGUCCCUGCUCCUUGCACACACUGCCCGUCGAACCACCCGAAUGAGGUUUGGGUGAGGAAUGGUCGAAUGUUGGCCGUUUCGAACCUGGGCCUCGUAAGGAGGGUUAAGUCGUAACAAGGUG